rnacentral:rRNA from 1 species
CCUACGGGGGGCUGCAGUGGGGAAUAUUGCACAAUGGGGGAAACCCUGAUGCAGCGACGCCGCGUGAAGAAAGAAGUAUCUCGGUAUGUAAACUUCUAUCAGCAGGGAAGAAAAUGACGGUACCUGACUAAGAAGCCCCGGCUAACUACGUGCCAGCAGCCGCGGUAAUACGUAGGGGGCAAGCGUUCUCCGGAUUUACUGGGGGUAACGGGAGCGUAGACGGAAGAGCAAGUCUGAUGUGAAAGGCUGGGGCUUAACCCUAGGACUGCAUUGGAAACUGGUAUUCUAGAGUGCAGGAGAGGUAAGCGGAAUUCCUAGUGUAGCGGUGAAAUGCGCAGAUAUUAGGAGGAACACCAGUGGCGAAGGCGGCUUUCUGGACUGUAACUGACGUUGAUGCGCGAAAGCGUGGGGAGCAAACAGGAUUAGAUACCCGUGUAGUC